rnacentral:rRNA from 1 species
UACGUAGGUGGCAAGCGUUGUCCGGAUUUACUGGGCGUAAAGGAUGCGUAGGCGGACAUUUAAGUCAGAUGUGAAAUACCCGAGCUUAACUUGGGUGCUGCAUUUGAAACUGGGUGUCUAGAGUGCAGGAGAGGUAAGUGGAAUUCCUAGUGUAGCGGUGAAAUGCGUAGAGAUUAGGAAGAACACCAGUGGCGAAGGCGACUUACUGGACUGUAACUGACGCUGAGGCAUGAAAGUGUGGGGAGCAAACAGG